rnacentral:lncRNA from 1 species
AUUCAGGAUGUUGCUAAGAGACCAUUUUAUGGGAUUUCUUGUGUAAUGUGUGUGUAAUGUGUGUGUGUCUGUGUGUCUGUGUGUGUGUGUAAUGUGUGUGUAUGGGCUGUGUAAAGCUGUCAGGUUGCCAUUCCUCCUCGGAGGCAGAGAGAUAAGUUUUAAUGAGGUCACAAAGUUCACUUUAGCAGUGUUGGAGAGAGAGUGUUUGUCCUCUCGGGAGAGAGAGAGGGCGCUGCAGGUGGAGCUGGAGUCUCUAUCGGUGCAGCUCUGUCAGAAAGAGCACACCUGCCAAGACCUGCGCCUCCACCACGACCAGCUCCUCGACACACUCAAACAACAGCGGGAGCGGGUCCAGUUCCUGGAGCAGAGGGUGGUCUCUGUGGCGGAGGAGGGGGCGAGGGAGGCGGCGCUGUUGAGUUUUCAGUUGGAGCAGGUGGGCUGUGAACUGCAGCAGCUCCAGAGCUCAGAGUUACAGCUGCAGGGCCUGGUGGACGAGCUGCACCAGGAGGCCGAUGAUGAAGUCAAAAAGGCAGAGGACCUGCAGACGGAGCUCCGUGAGGUGGCCCAACUCAGUGCUAAGCAGAUAGAAGACAUGAAGAGGAAGCUGGCCAGAAAGUCUCAGGAAGUGGAGGAGCUGCAGGAGGCUAAUCAUGCUCUGCAGGAGGAGCUGAGCGAGCAGCACAGCGCCCACCGGAGGACGGUAGAGGAACUGCAGCAGGAGAACUCGGGCAGCGUGCAGAAACUCAGAGAGAUGGCGGAGCAGUUCGAGUGGCUCUGUGAUCAACAGAGAAACUGGAUGUGCUGCAUCAAACGUUUUAAGGACUGUCUGUCUGAUGAGAAGGAGGCCCUGGUUCUGCAGGUGAAAAGGUUACAGGAGGAAUUGGCGGAUCUGAAGAAGAACUCUGACUCUGAGGACACAAGUCCAGAAGACCCGGCCACUCACUGCAACAGGUGGGAUGUGGAGGUGAUGGGGGAUCUGCAGGUGGAGGCUGACAGAUGGAGAACAAGAUACUCUGACCUCUUCAGCAAACUCACUACACAACCGGGUUCUCAGGGGAAGUGGAAUGAAGAUGGACAUUUAAAGCCUCCAUGAAAUCAUCCCUCUCUCUCUCUCUCUCUCUCUCUCUCUCUCUCUCUCUCUGUANUUUUGCACCAGGAGUAAAGCAGCAUAAAGUUAUCCAAAAGCAGUGUGUAAGACUGGUGGAGGAGAACAUGAUGCCAAGAUGCAUGAAAAAAUUAUUUCUGAACUCUUAAAACUUUAUGAAUAUGAACUUGUUGUUUUCUUUGCAUUAUUUGAGGUCUGAAAGCUCU